GACUAGGGUUCCCUCCUCCUCCUCCUUCCACUUGCGACGCCACCUCCACAAUGAGAUCUUACAGAAGCUUAAAGUGACGUUCCGAUCUACCAAGCGAUUCCGAUGGUUACUUCGUACACUCUCCUUGCCGAUCUGAGAGUCCACACGAUGCGCUAACACUGCGGAAGUCCAUCUGCUGAGGUUUUGUUGCUCACCGGUGAAAAUACAAUAGAUUAUUUGUGUGAUCUGAUCGGUUUGUGGAAUUGCAUCAUGUCAUUUUGCCCAUACUGUGUGAGAGUGAAGAAGCUUUUGCAGCAAUUGGGUGCUAUGUUCUUCGCCAUUGAGCUCGACAAAGAGACAAAUUUUCGUCCAUUGUACCGGUGGUUACACUCGGGUCCAUAUCGAAGGGAUGAUCUGUCCCUCGAUGGCGAACUGGCUGGAUCGCGCUUCACGACCUAGAUGGUGUCUUUAAAUCCAAAAAUGUUUUAGCUGCUAUAAAACAUCCUUGAUCUAAAUUCUAAACCACCAACUGUUAUCCAGGUGGCGAUUCCCACCACCAUCUUGAAGAAAACUGGUAAAGAUUUCUUCCAAAGGAGGCAGAGCUUUCUGAAAGUUUCAACCGAGUUUGCAUAUUAUACGCCCAUGAGCAUACCUUCCCUCACCUGCUACAUGAUACCUGAAGCAUGCACCUUCUUUUGAGUAUUCUAUCAUUACUAUGUAUCUUUACAACUUAUUAUUCUAUCAUUCUUUAAAUUUUGUUCUGUUUUCUACUCGCAGACCGAGCUGAACUUAUCAUGCUUUGUGGACAUUUAAGAUGAUGAAGACUUCUGUGAAAAGUUAGCUACUGAGGCAAUCCUCGUCCUUUUACCUGGGAUUGCUUUUACUCUGAAGAACUGGUUGAGGCAUUCCAUUGACAUGGAUACUCCAACUUUGGAAGAUGCAUUUGAUAGAUUGAAGAGCUUUUGUGAUCGCCAUUCUGUUUCAGGAAUCCACAUGGGUCAUCUGACCACCAUAACGGUAGUUCGGCCACUGACAACGAAGCUCCACUCAAAGAUGUCAAUGGUGUCAACUAAAGGGUUCUUAUCGGACCAACCCGUACAGAGGCGGUAAGUUGGUUUCUAUGUUGACUGAAGCUGGAGUUUUCUCUGCAAAAGCUGGAACAACUUCUGCUUAAUAAGCACAUCCAUUUGUGAUUUGCUUUUUAUAAGUUUGUGUCAUAAAUGUCGACUUUGUCUGAAAUGAUUUAGAGUUGUGGUUAAGUCGAAGUCGGUAUUGAACUUCUGAUACAUUUAUGUUAUCAGAAUGAGUGACUUACUGAGAAUAACUAAUAAAUAAUUAUGCAA